CAGUUCUGGAAGCUACAGAGUAUAAUGCAGUCGAGCGGACCGACGGGAGCUUGCUCCCUUAGGUCAGCGGCGGACGGGUGAGUAACACGUGGGUAACCUGCCUGUAAGACUGGGAUAACUCCGGGAAACCGGGGCUAAUACCGGAUGCUUGAUUGAACCGCAUGGUUCAAUCAUAAAAGGUGGCUUUUAGCUACCACUUGCAGAUGGACCCGCGGCGCAUUAGCUAGUUGGUGAGGUAACGGCUCACCAAGGCGACGAUGCGUAGCCGACCUGAGAGGGUGAUCGGCCACACUGGGACUGAGACACGGCCCAGACUCCUACGGGAGGCAGCAGUAGGGAAUCUUCCGCAAUGGACGAAAGUCUGACGGAGCAACGCCGCGUGAGUGAUGAAGGUUUUCGGAUCGUAAAACUCUGUUGUUAGGGAAGAACAAGUACCGUUCGAAUAGGGCGGCACCUUGACGGUACCUAACCAGAAAGCCACGGCUAACUACGUGCCAGCAGCCGCGGUAAUACGUAGGUGGCAAGCGUUGUCCGGAAUUAUUGGGCGUAAAGCGCGCGCAGGCGGUUUCUUAAGUCUGAUGUGAAAGCCCCCGGCUCAACCGGGGAGGGUCAUUGGAAACUGGGGAACUUGAGUGCAGAAGAGGAGAGUGGAAUUCCACGUGUAGCGGUGAAAUGCGUAGAGAUGUGGAGGAACACCAGUGGCGAAGGCGACUCUCUGGUCUGUAACUGACGCUGAGGCGCGAAAGCGUGGGGAGCGAACAGGAUUAGAUACCCUGGUAGUCCACGCCGUAAACGAUGAGUGCUAAGUGUUAGAGGGUUUCCGCCCUUUAGUGCUGCAGCAAACGCAUUAAGCACUCCGCCUGGGGAGUACGGUCGCAAGACUGAAACUCAAAGGAAUUGACAGGGGCCCGCACAAGCGGUGGAGCAUGUGGUUUAAUUCGAAGCAACGCGAAGAACCUUACCAGGUCUUGACAUCUCUGACACCCUAGAGAUAGGGCUUCCCCUUCGGGGGCAGAGUGACAGGUGGUGCAUGGUUGUCGUCAGCUCGUG
rnacentral:rRNA from 1 species